rnacentral:rRNA from 1 species
UACAUAGGUCUCAAGCGUUGUUCGGAUUCAUUGGGCGUAAAGGGUGUGUAGGUGGCGCGCUAAGUCGGGUGUGAAAUUUCGGAGCUUAACUCCGAAACUGCAUUCGAUACUGGCGUGCUUGAGGACUGGAGAGGAGACUGGAAUUUACGGUGUAGCAGUGAAAUGCGUAGAUAUCGUAAGGAAGACCAGUGGCGAAGGCGGGUCUCUGGACAGUUCCUGACACUGAGACACGAAGGCCAGGGGAGCAAACGGG